rnacentral:rRNA from 1 species
CAAUAGCGUAUAUUAAAGUUGUUGCAGUUAAAAAGCUCGUAGUUGGAUUUCUGCUGAGGACGAUCGGUCCGCCCACUGGGUGAGUAUCUGGCUCGGCCUUGGCAUCUUCUUGGAGAACGUUGCUGCACUUGACUGUGUGGCGCGGUAUCCAGGACUUUUACUUUGAGGAAAUUAGAGUGUUUCAAGCAGGCGCACGCCUUGAAUACAUUAGCAUGGAAUAAUGAGAUAGGACCUUGGUUCUAUUUUGUUGGUUUCUAGAGCUGAGGUAAUGAUUAAUAGGGAUAGUUGGGGGCAUUCGUAUUUAACUGUCAGAGGUGAAAUUCUUGGAUUGUUAAAGACGGACUACUGCGAAAGCAUUUGCCAAGGAUGUUUUCAUUGA